AUUGAACGCUGGCGGCAUGCUUUACACAUGCAAGUCGAACGGCAGCGCGGGCUUCGGCCUGGCGGCGAGUGGCGAACGGGUGAGUAAUACAUCGGAACGCGCCCAGUAGUGGGGGAUAGCUCGGCGAAAGCCGGAUUAAUACCGCAUACGACCUGAGGGUGAAAGCGGGGGAUCUUCGGACCUCGCGCUAUUGGAGCGGCCGAUGGCAGAUUAGCUAGUUGGUGGGGUAAAGGCCUACCAAGGCGACGAUCUGUAGCUGGUCUGAGAGGACGACCAGCCACACUGGGACUGAGACACGGCCCAGACUCCUACGGGAGGCAGCAGUGGGGAAUUUUGGACAAUGGGCGAAAGCCUGAUCCAGCAAUGCCGCGUGUGUGAUGAAGGCCUUCGGGUUGUAAAGCACUUUUGGCGGGAACGAAAAGGACUGUGCCAAUACCACGGUUCGAUGACGGUACCCGCAGAAUAAGCACCGGCUAACUACGUG
rnacentral:rRNA from 1 species